CAGGGAUCCGCGCCGCCGCCGGGAUGCUGCUGCUUCUUCUUCAUCGCCUGCUCCGCCGCCUCGCACAGCCUGCCCGUGCCAGGAAAAGUUCAGAAAGUUGAUUCUCCUUAUAUACCCCGUGCGAGCUGCUUACCCAAGGCCGAUAAAAGUGCUUGUCUGGUGAAACCCAGGCUCAGUUAAACCCAACCAUGCAACUGGACUGGAUUGCAGAAAAACACACAGCGCUGAAUGGAUGAUAAAGCCCAUACUCCCGGGUUCACAGGGCUCUGGUCUGGUUCAGAAGCGCGCUUACCUGGCUGGGAAACUACAUCACCAGCUGGCUGCUUUUCUCGAUGGUACUUGCUGUGAAGUGGUCCAAGACAUUAUUCCACCCAGAGAAACUGGACUGCAGAAUGAUGGGUGCUGUGUAAGGUUGGCUUGUUGGCAGUGAAAGUGGCAGUAGGAAGAUGAGUCAUCCAGUAAAAUGGCUGGAAUGUGGACAUGGAAGGGGCUCAGCUUCAAUCAUGUGCAUGAGGACAGUACUCCAAGGAAUAUCAGAGAAAUUGGUGAAAGGAACCUGGGAACCUGAAUGCUCUUAAGCAGAGCCAUCCAUCUGCUGUGGAUUGCCUACUGCCAUUUGGACUCCCUUGUGAAAGAAAUAAAUUAAAUUCUCUCUACAAUCACUGUAUUUUGGGGUCUCUAUUUU